GUGUUCUGGCAUUUAAGCCAUCCGGUGAAUGGCUCGGCUCAAGCGCUGAUGAAGGACGUACCAAGUUGCGAUAAGCCUCGGCGAACCGCAUGGAGGUUUUGAACCGAGGAUCUCCUAAUGGGACCUCUUAGCGCGUAAGUGCUGAUCCGUAAGGAUCGGGAACGCCCCGGAUUGAAACAUCUUAGUAGGGGCAGGAAAAGAAAUCAAUUGAGAUGCCGCUAGUAACGGCGAGUGAAAACGGCAGAGUUUAAACUGAAUCCCCUCCGUAAGGCAGGGGAGAUGUAGUGUCAUAAGCUUAACUAUACGCAGUGCAAACCAGUGAAGUUGAACUUGUCUGGAACGUCAGACCAUAGAGUGUGAUAGUCACGUAGACGCAAGCUGGUGGACUGUGAUCUUGUCUUGAGUACCGUGGGUCGGAAAUCUCGCGGGAAUUUGGGAGCCAUCAAUUUCCAAAACUAAAUACGUCUUGAGACCGAUAGCGUAGUAGUAGUGUGAACGAAAGCUGAAAAGUACCCCAAAAAGGGAGGUGCAAAGCGCCUGAAAUCGGAUGGCGAUAGAGCGAUACGGCGUGAAAGGAUCUGUAUAGCGAAGGAAUAUGUCGCGAGGCAUUAGUACGGGCUAUACUGCCGACGUCGUAUUUUACGUUUUGAAGAACGGGCCAGGGAAUGUAUUAGAGUGGCGAGGCUAACCACAUAUGGGAAGCCAAAGCGAAAGCAAUAUGCGCACAACCGCAAGGUGAGGCGCAGCGUAUACAAGUGCGUGGAGUCACUAGAUUACGACCCGAAUCCUAGCGAUCUAGGCGGAGGCAGGUUGAAGCGUCUCGAAAGGGGCGUUGAGGACCGCAAGCGUUUUUGAUUUGCAAAUCAUUCGCGUGAUCCCCGUCUAGGAGUGAAAGGCUAAUCGAGCUGGGUGAUAGCUGGUUCCUUCCGAAACAUGUCGCAGCAUGACCCUGCCAGAGAUAGUCGGCGAAGUAGAGCACUGAUUGGGGAACACCGGGGGGAAACCCCUGGCUCUCCUGUCAAACUCCCAAAUCGCUGUCAUCGUAGAAAGCAGGAGUCCGCACUGGUGGGUAAGCUAACAGUGCGUGAGGGAGACAACCCAGACCGUGGUUAAGGUCCCAGAGUGUCGGCUAAGUGUAAACACAAAAAGGGCGUCCCAAGCCCUAAACAACUGGAAGGUGAGCUCAGAAGCAGCUAUCCUUUAAAGAGUGCGUAACAGCUCACCAGUCGAGGUUUGGGGCCCCGAAAAUGGACGGGGCUCAAGCCGACCACCGAUACCACGGGGUACCGCAAGGUAAUCCUGUAGGAAGGCGUCUCGUUUGGGUAGAAGCAGGGUCGUGAGAUCCUGUGGACCAUUCGGGAACGAAAAUCCUGGCAAUAGUAGCACCAAAGUUCAGUGAGAAUCUGAACCGCCGUAGGGGCCAGGGUUCCUCGGCAAUGAUUGUCAGCCGAGGGUUAGUCGAUCCUAAGUCGUACCGUAAUUCGAAUACGACAAAAGGGAAACAGGUUAAUAUUCCUGUACCAUUCAGUCAUACCCGCAAGGGGCUGACGCAUCCGGGUAGAUCAAGCAGGCAUGCCUGCCUGUCCAAGCACUCAAACUGAUGGAGAACCGUAAUGGUGAGAAGUCGGUGAAGGUGUGACGGCGUAAGUUGGUUAAUCCCAGGUGCCCGUGAAAAGGCGACUGAAUGAUCGUACCAAGAACCGACACUGGUGCCCCUAGUUGAGAAGACUAAGGCGUGUCGGCAUAAACUGGCUAAGGGAAUUCGGCAAAUUAGCUCCGUAACUUCGGAAUAAGGAGUGCCUGCCUUGAAGAAGGCAGGUCGCAGAGACCAGGGAGCACUGACUGUCUAAUAACAACAUAGCUGACUGCUAAUCCGUAAGGAUGAGUACAGUUGGUGAAUCCUGCCCAGUGCAGGUACCUGAAAACCCGGUACAACGGGACGAAGGGCCUGUAAACGGCGGGGGUAACUAUAACCCUCUUAAGGUAGCGUAGUACCUUGUCGCUUAAUUGGCGACUUGCAUGAAUGGAUCAACGAGUGCUCUACUGUCCCUAGUCAGAACCCGAUGAACUUUACGUUCUAGUGCAGAGUCUAGAGACCCCUUAGGGGAAGUGAAGACCCCGUUGAGCUUUACUGCAGCCUGUGGUUGGGUUGUGGUUUUGGAUGCGCAGUGUAGGUAGGAGACGUCGAUUCCUUACUUUCGGGUAAGGUGGAGUCAACAAUGAGACACUACCCUUCUGAGACUACGACCCUAACUUGGAAACGAGGACACCCAUAGGUGGGCAGUUUGGGUGGGGCGCCACGCCCUUGAAAAGAUAUCAAGGGCGCCCAAUGGUUGACUCAUGUGAGUCGGAAACUCACAGUAGAGUGCAAGAGCAUAAGUCAGCCUGACUGGAUUUCGCACAACAAGAAAUCCUGGGACGAAAGUCUGGUCUAGCGAACCACUAUGCCUUCUUGGUGAGGGCUAUUGACUACAGAAAAGCUACCACAGGGAUAACAGAGUCGUCGCCGGCAAGAGUACAUAUCGACCCGGCGGCUUGCUACCUCGAUGUCGGUUCUUUCCAUCCUGGCCGUGCAGCAGCGGCCAAGGGUGAGGUUGUUCGCCUAUUAAAGGAGAUCGUGAGCUGGGUUUAGACCGUCGUGAGGCAGGUCGGUUACUAUCUAUAAGGGGUGUUUUGAGGUCUGAGGGUAAGUUGCAUUUAGUACGAGAGGAACUGUGCAACGGUGCCACUGGUGGACCUGUUGUCUGGCAAGGCAUCGCAGGGCAGCUACGCACUUAACGGAUUAAAGCUGAAAGCAUCUAAGCUUGAAACCACACCUAAAAAGAGACCUCUAAGGACUCUCGUAAAAGACGAGUUUGAUAGAGUCGGGAUGUACGCACCAAGGUGACGAGGUGUUGAGUCCGUCGACUACUAACGUCCACGCUAGAUUUG
rnacentral:rRNA from 1 species